rnacentral:tRNA from 1 species
CCUGGUGGCUCUGAUGGUAAAGUGUCUGCCUGCAAUGUAGGAGACCUGGGUUCAAUCCCUGUGUCGGGA